AGAGUGAACGCUGGCGGCAGGCCUAACACAUGCAAGUCGAGCGGCAGCACAGCAGUAGCAAUACUGUGGGUGGCGAGCGGCGGACGGGUGAGGAAUACAUCGGAAUCUACCUUCUUGUGGGGGAUAACGUAGGGAAACUUACGCUAAUACCGCAUAAGACCUGAGGGUGAAAGCAGGGGACCGCAAGGCCUUGCGCGAGAAGAUGAGCCGAUGUCCGAUUAGCUAGUUGGUGAGGUAAAGGCUCACCAAGGCGACGAUCGGUAGCUGGUCUGAGAGGAUGAUCGGCCACACUGGAACUGAGACACGGUCCAGACUCCUACGGGAGGCAGCAGUGGGGAAUAUUGGACAAUGGGCGCAAGCCUGAUCCAGCCAUGCCGCGUGUGUGAAAGAAGG
rnacentral:rRNA from 1 species